rnacentral:rRNA from 1 species
UACAGAGGUGGCAAGCGUUGUUCGGAAUUACUGGGCGUAAAGGGCGCGUAGGCGGCCCACUAAGUCAGACGUGAAAUCCCCCGGCUUAACCUGGGAACUGCGUCUGAUACUGGAGGGCUUGAGUAUGGGAGAGGGAUGUAGAAUUCCAGGUGUAGCGGUGAAAUGUGUAGAUAUCUGGAGGAAUACCGGUGGCGAAGGCGGCAUCCUGGACCGACAUUGACGCUGAUGAGCGAAAGCUAGGGGAGCAAACGGGG